rnacentral:rRNA from 1 species
ACUCCUACGGGAGGCAGCAGUGGGGAAUAUUGCACAAUGGGCGCAAGCCUGAUGCAGCCAUGCCGCGUGUGUGAAGAAGGCCUUCGGGUUGUAAAGCACUUUCAGUCGUGAGGAAGGUAAUGUAGUUAAUAGCUGCAUUAUUUGUACGUUAGCGACAGAAGAAGCACCGGCUAACUCCGUGCCAGCAGCCGCGGUAAUACGGAGGGUGCGAGCGUUAAUCGGAAUUACUGGGCGUAAAGCGCAUGCAGGUGGUUUGUUAAGUCAGAUGUGAAAGCCCGGGGCUCAACCUCGGAAUAGCAUUUGAAACUGGCAGACUAGAGUACUGUAGAGGGGGUUAGAAUUUCAGGUGUAGCGGUGAAAUGCGUAGAGAUCUGAAGGAAUACCGGUGGCGAAGGCGGCCCCUGGACAGAUACUGACACUCAGAUGCGAAAGCGUGGGAGCAAACAGGAUUAGAUACCCCUGGUAGGAUAGCG